rnacentral:piRNA from 1 species
UUAAAGGAGAGCACACCAUUCCAGUGA